UACAGGGGGUGCAAGCGUUGCUCGGAAUCACUGGGCGUAAAGCGAGCGCAGGCGGCCGAUUAAGUCAGAGGUGAAAGCCCGGGGCUCAACCCCGGAAUGGCCUUUGAAACUGGUCGGCUUGAAUGCAGGAGAGGGUCGCGGAAUUCUUGGUGUAGAGGUGAAAUUCGUAGAUAUCAGGAAGAAUACCAGUGGCGAAAGCGGCGACCUGGCCUGACAUUGACGCUCAUGCUCGAGAGCGUGGGGAGCAAACAGGAUUAGAACCGUACCGACGUAGAU
rnacentral:rRNA from 1 species